UACGGGGGGGGGUAAGCGUUGUUCGGAAUUACUGGGCGUAAAGGGCUCGUAGGCGGCCAACUAAGUCAGACGUGAAAUCCCUCAGCUUAACUGGGGAACUGCGUCUGAUACUGGAUGGCUUGGAUUCGGGAGAGGAAUGCGGAAUUCCAGGUGUAGCGGUGAAAUGCGUAGAUAUCUGGAGGAACACCGGUGGCGAAGGCGGCAUUCUGGACCGACAUUGACGCUGAGGAGCGAAAGCCAAGGGAGCAAACGGG
rnacentral:rRNA from 1 species